CAUAUUAGGUUUUUACUUUCCUGCGGUACCGCAGGAAGUUCUGUUGAGACCAUCUCAUGUCUACCCUGAGUGGCCGGUUCUGAAUUGGUACCAGUUCGAGCUUGACUGUUUUAUGAUACAUAGUAUGGCCUAUGUAUUCAGUGUGCAUAUAGAGUUUUAUGAUAUAGAAACUGUUAAUCUUUACUCCCCUGAAACCAGGGGUGAUGCGAAUAAGACCCGACGUAUUUGGGGAUCAUAACCCUCGUUCUCUUUAGGAUUUAACCUUGAGGAACUUGAGCAUCCAUUGCUACCAAUGGUGCACAGAUUUGUCAGUUAAAUCAAUCAUGUCGGCAUUCUGUAAUCAUGUCAGACCUCGUCAUUCUAAGUGAACUGUGGCCGUUAUUUCCACAUUAGAUAUUUGUUUGUUAUGUUUUUGCCUGAAACUUGAUUCUUUGAUUAAUUAAGUGACAGUUGUCAAAAAGCUUUACAUUUAGGACUAUCAAAAUAAUAUCAAUGAUUAGCAAAGAAGGCGAGACAUUUCAGCAUGUGCACUCUUGUUUUUUUUAUAAA
rnacentral:lncRNA from 1 species